rnacentral:lncRNA from 1 species
CCCUCAUGAAAAUCUAAAAUUUUGAUUAUGUAAAUGUUAAUCAUAUAAUAAAAUAAGAGCAUUUCCCCUCAGUGAAAAGUGUAAGUUUAUUUUGUGGGCAUGGUGUUGUUGCAACUGGCCAAUCCAUCUGCCAUAAUUUAAUCAGCCUGGAUGAGUAAAAGGCUAGAAAAAUGUGGAGGGGAGAGCAUAGUGCCACUUCCUAUCUUUUCUCAGGUCUAUUUUUUUACCCUAACAUGCAAUGUAUUUGCCUGAAACUGCAGGUGUUUAUUGUUAUGCCAUUUUCCAGCUAACUAGGAGUUAAUGGCAAUUUCAGCUAUCUCCUAGAAUAACUUUUCCUGGAUUGCUUGAAGAGCAUGAGAAUUGGGAAACUCAUUAAUUCAUUUAUCUGUGAAGCACUUACCUAUUAUGUGCUGUAGGAAUGUGGAGGCAAGACAAAGCACUAUGUGAGCCCUCAGCUUGGUAGGGGAGCUUUUUGAAUAGGGCCAAAAGCAGUGACAUAUGGACUAUUAGAUAAGACACUGGAUAUAAAGGUACUCAUCCCAGGGCUGGUCCCAGAGUCAAAACUCAUCUUGUUAUCCUUGAAGUUUAGUAGCCAAAGCCACUUUAAGGAUUCUUGGUAGCACUUAUGUUUUUGGAGGGUUACUUGACACUUGUUGGCUUCUUUUGUUUGAUUUUUCCAACAAAUGGUUUUUGAAAGCCUCCUGGGAGCUGCACUAUGUUGUAGGUAUUGGGGCCACAGCAGUGAACACCACCACCAAGUCUCUGCUCUCUUGGUGCAGAGGGGCAAAUCAGACAAGUGAGAGACAUGAGUGUGAUGCCUGCUGUGUUAGAAGGGCAAGAAGGAGUUGCGGAAAAUUAUUGUGUGGACAAGAACUUGCAGAAGAAAGGGAAGGAGUAUGUUGGCAGGGAGCGAAGUUGCAAUUUGAACCUUAAGGGUGGUCACAGGAGACUCUGUUGACAGUGGCUUGGGGCAAAGACUUGUAGUGGUUAGAGGAGCAACCAGGAGAUGUUCUGUACCAAGAAGGUGCAAGGAAUAGUGAGAAGGCCAGUGAAGAGUGUACCAGUGCCAGGGGUCUGGGGAUGAGGGCAGAGGAGUGGCUGGUAGGGGGUCCUGGAGGGACUUGGAGGCUUUUGCUAAAAUUCCUGUCUGAUUGGCCAGUCUCUAGCCAGUUGAUGGUCUGUGGAGUCAUUAUAACAUGUAAGGUUUCAUGUCUUUAUUUUCAUUCAUGCUUUUACAUUUAUAGUCCAGUGACAAUAAAAAGCGAGAGAUUUGAGUAGGUGGGACAGUCUUCUUUGUGUGUGUAGCAGGGAUAUGCAUGUGCAUCCCCAUUCUGUCUUCUUCUAUCUCAUGUUGGGGAGAUAGGGUGGCUAGAAUUGUUCUCUUCGGCUAUCUGCUGAUCUCUGGUACAUACCAAGGAGGGCAUAGAGUUAAUAAGCAUUUAUAAUACCCUUAAUCUCUAUAGUCGUAGUGUCUAAUCCUCUUUAAUUACACUGGUAACAAAAGUCUAUCACUUAGUUACUUUUAUCAUUAACAGCACAAAAAUGCAUUAUUUAUAGGGCCAAAUGCAAGCUCUUGAGGCAUAUAAAGUAGAUUAAUAAGGUUGGCUCAGCGUUAAGCUAUGUCAGAGCUGAGUCCAAAUUUUAUUCCGGUACGGGGAUGACUUUCUAUGUGGCCUCUCUGGCUCUGAAGCUAAUUUGGAUGCUGAGUCGCCCCACAGGUAUUUAUAUGUAGCGUUUGGUAUUUUUACUGGGUCCUAUUCUUCUCCCUUGGAUCACCUAAAAUGGUUAAGAAUUUUCUAGUGGGAUUAAGGUUGUGAUCUCUGAGGAGGGGUGGGACAUCUGCUCUUGGUUAUUUUUGUGAGCCGCUUCCCCUUAAAUGUAUGUUCGCAAAUGAGCCACAGUCCUAUCAGCUGGGAUUGAGGGAAGACUGAUCUAGGUGCUGCUGCUGAACUUGGUCUUUAAGCCAUGGCUUCUCAUAGACACUCAGGUAAAAACCUCAUGUUCUUUCUUUUCUCUUGAGCACAAUUUUGUUAGGGCAAUGAACUCAUUAUUUGCCUAAAAGAUAACUUUCAAUUAAAUGAUUUUAGUCUUAU